CCCUUAGAUGUUCUGGGCCGCACGCGCGCUACACUGAUGCAUUCAACGAGUUUCUUCCUGGUCCGAGAGGAAUGGAUAACCUUUUGAAAGUGCAUCGUGAUAGGGAUAGACUAUUGCAAUUAUUGGUCUUCAACGAGGAAUUCCUAGUAGACGUAGUUCAUCAGACUGCAUCGAUUACGUCCUUGCCCUUUGUACACACCGCCCGUCGCUCCUACCGAUUGAAUGAUCCGAUGAAUAUCAUGGAUUGAGGAUGCAAGCAGGUUCGCCUGUCUUCAUCUUCGAGAAGUGAAGUAAAUCUUAUCAUUUAGAGGAAGGAGAAGUCGUAACA
rnacentral:rRNA from 1 species